rnacentral:rRNA from 1 species
AUGGCUUACCCGGUUCAGCUAUUUGCCCACUUAUGCUUCACACUGAUAGCUCUCUUGUUGUUUCCCGUGCUGUCCGAAGGCUCUGACCAGUUCCUCAUGAGAUGUGGUGCCACGAGCAGUGCCAGUGAUUCCGAUGGUCGAACAUGGGAAGGGGAUGCUAACUUUGGGCUAGCACUUCCUGGUCUUUCAGCCAAGGCGUCAUACCUAGACCCCUCACUUCCAUCCCGAGUACCUUACAUGACUGCACGCAUCUUCACUUCAAAUUCCACAUAUAGUCUUGGGGUUGACCCUGGCCGCAUGUUCCUUCGGCUCUACUUCUAUCCAACUGCUUAUGGCGAACAUUCUGCCGUAGAUGCCUUGUUUAGUGUCACUGCAGGGACCUAUAGCCUUCUAAAUGACUUCAAUCCUUCCCAGACUGCUCAGGCCAUGGGUCAUAGUUACCUCAUCCGUGAAUACUCCUUGAAUGUUACUUCAUCUCAACUUAGUGUCACAUUUUCCCCAUCACCACGCCACACUGGGUCUUACGCGUUUGUGAAUGGCAUUGAAAUUGUGCACACUCCUGACAUUUUCACGAUACCAGUGCCAAGAUUCGCGAAUGGUGGGAACCCAGAUCUAUUCCCGAUUUCCUCUAGCAUAGGCCUUGAAACAAUGUACCGUCUUAAUGUUGGGGGCGUGACUAUCUCUGGGAAACAUGAUUCGGGCUUUUACCGUUCAUGGGAAGAGGACUCCCUCUAUAUUUAUGGAUCUGAUGGCAUGAAUUUUUUCAAAGACAACAACAUCACAAUCAGUUACCCGCUUAGCAUGCCGGAUUACAUAGCACCAAUCGAUAUCUAUGAGACAGAAAGAUCUAUGGGGUGGAAUGCACGUAACAACAUGAGGUACAAUCUUACAUGGAUUUUGCCUGUCGAUGCAGGGUUCUAUUACCUUUUGAGGUUCCAUUUCUGUGAGAUCCAGUAUCCAAUGACCAAGAUAGGCCAGAGGCAAUUCGUCAUAUACAUCAACAACCAGACAGCAGUGGAGCAGAUGGAUGUCAUUGAUUGGAGCGGAGGAAUUGGUAUACCAGUUUACACCAACUACGUCAUUGUCACAGUUGGUCAUGGUCAGACAGAUCUCUGGGUAGCACUCCACCCUGAUCUCAGUGUCGGUACAGAAUAUUAUGAUGCAAUUCUGAAUGGUCUGGAGGUCUUCAAACUACAGGAUAACAGCAAUAAUAAUCUUGCUGGUGUCAACCCUACGCCCAAGCAAAAUCGUGAUGGGUCAGAAUCUCAUGGUCAAGAUAAAACAAAUGCUAGAAUCCCAGCGAUCAUUGGAGGUGGAGCUGCUUCUGGUGUCUUGGCUUUGUUCAUUUCCAGUUUCUGCAUUUAUGUUAUGUACAGGCGGAAGAAAACUAACUACACUCAUGGCAAGACCAAUGGGAAUCCUCCCAACGGAGAUGGAGAAUUGCUAUUGGCCACCUCGCACUCGAAGGAUUUGAAGCUCUGCCACAACUUCUCGUUCAAGCAAAUCCAGGAAGCCACCAAUAACUUCGAUGAGGCCUUCCUCCUAGGCAAAGGUGGGUUUGGGAAUGUAUACCAUGGUCAGAUAGCUGGUAUGAAGAAGGUGGCAAUCAAGCGUGGUAACCCUCUGUCCCAGCAGGGCAUUCAGGAAUUCCGGAAUGAAAUCGAAAUGUUGACCAAUCUCCGGCAUCGCCACCUUGUGUCACUGAUUGGUUACUGCGAUGAGGAGUCCGAGAUGAUCUUGUUGUAUGAUUACAUGGCCAAUGGGACACUUCAGGAGCACCUGUACAACACUAACAAACCACCAUUACCAUGGGAGCACCGUCUUGUGAUAUGCAUUGGAGCUGCACUACCUGCACACCGGUGCAAAGAGGGCCAUCAUCCACCGUGA